GGCGACAUGGCCGAGUGGUAAGGCAGAGGACUGCAAAUCCUUUUCCCCAGUUCAAAUCCGGUGUCGCCU